GGGAAUAUUGCACAAUGGGCGAAAGCCUGAUGCAGCAACGCCGCGUGAGUGAUGAAGGCCUUCGGGUCGUAAAACUCUGUCCUCAAGGAAGAUAAUGACGGGACUUGAGGAGGAAGCCCCGGCUAACUACGUGCCAGCAGCCGCGGUAAUACGUAGGGGGCUAGCGUUAUCCGGAUUUACUGGGCGUAAAGGGUGCGUAGGCGGUCUUUCAAGUCAGGAG
rnacentral:rRNA from 1 species